ensembl:lncRNA LINC03112 long intergenic non-protein coding RNA 3112
CGGAGGUGGCUCGGGCCGCGCCGAGGGGACCACGGGACGCCCUCCUUCCCUUCUCAGGAAACUGGUAUAACAGAAGUCCGGGCCACAUGCCGUAAAACAGCUGGCAGACAGAUCUCAGAGUCUCUGUGCUACAGGAACAUGGAGGAAGAACCCAGGUGGGCUUGGGAGGAGAUGUUUAAGGCAUCGUGAUGCUUGGUGUAGCCCUGAAGGUCAAGAUACAGUUAUCCAGAUAACGCUAAGGUGAAGAUUCAUUUCAGCACAUCUCAAUUCAAAUGAACUGACAUCCUUUGGGUGUUUGUCCCUUCCAAAUCUCCUGUUGAAAUAGCAUCCCCCGUGUUGGAGAUGAGGCCUGGUGGGAGGUGUUUCCGUCACAGGAACAGAUUCCUCAUGAAUGACUUGGUGCCAUCCUCAUGGGCCCCUAAAGUGAUGGAGUGGCUGUGGAGUCUUCAGUUUGCCUGCAUGCCAGGUGCAAGCCAAGGAGUUGUAAGAGCAUCCCCCUCAUAAGCUACCAGUAGGCCAGGACUCCAGUGUGGAGGGAUGGAUCUCUGAAGGUCACAGCUUGGCCCUUCUCUGAAGAACGUCCACCAGCAUGUCAGCCCAGCUGCACUGCAGGAGUGAAGGGUGAGAUGACUGUCAAUAAGGAUAAAGGCCAUCUUCCCCACCCGUCACUCAUCCUGCCAAGCCAUCACUGGGUAACCAGGACUCAUGGGCAGUGUCACCUCUGGGGCCAUGCUGGCAUCUGUAACCUCCAUCCAUCCUUGUGGUCCCAUCCAGCCAUCUCUGCCCCCUUGCCUGGCCCAUUCUGUUGUGAAGUUUUCGUCCACCUUGCUCUUGUGCAGAGUCGGAAUUCACAGGGGUUCCAAUGCCCAAGGGAAGCCCAUUGGAACUGUUUACUCUUAUUACUGGCUAGAGACGUCCACAGGACAAAUCAGCUUCAGAUUAUACCAUCGUUAGAGUAGGUGCAACUGGGGGGCUUGCCCUACUUAACUCUCCAAUGCAAUCCAUGCUGCCAGCUUCAUACAGACUCCAUCCAGUGCAAAUGGCUUCCUUCUGUGUGCAGAGCAAAUGCUCCAGGGAAGAGAUACAGAGGAUUCCCCAUCAUCAUUGUUGCCAAGUGACCCCAAAUAUUCCUAUCCUGUCUGUUGUAAAAAGGAAAAAUCAUGUCUUGGAAGAACAGCAUCGCCCUACAGAUACAGACUAGGCACUUUGCACAUGAAACAAGAGUCCCAGAAAUUUCUAGAAGCAAAUCUCGCAUUCGUGACCGCCAGACCUACGGGAUGUGUAAGGCACAUUCUCAAUCUCAUCACUUGUGAGAGUUGCAUUGCCUAGUCCAGCAGCCGUGAAGGACUCUCUGCUGUUUUUCCUCUGCUUCAUUUGACACAUGAGAGAGAAGAGAUGAAGAUGGAGGCGGGCCCUGCCCCGGGGACAUGUAUAUCUCUCUGAAUGUCCUUGACAGACAGCAGCAGCCCAGCAAUGCCCAGCCCCCAUCCUGUCUGUAUGCACCCUGGUGAGCAUUUUCUACAGUCUCCUAAACGCUCCCAUUAUUCUGUUUUGCAGGUGUGAUGUGUGGCACCUCAGUGUUGUCAUAGCUUCUGCCUCCUCCGUGUGGAGAGAGGGCAUAAAGACAGAGCUGAGAUAUUAUGGCUAUUCCAGAAAAUAAAAUAUUUUUUGAAACCA